GCGGAUGUAGCCAAGUGGAUCAAGGCAGUGGA
rnacentral:tRNA from 32 species